CGCGCUAUCUGCAGUCGAGGGGCAGCACAGGUAGCAAUACUGGGUGGCGACCGGCAAACGGGUGCGGAACACGUACGUAACCUUCCUCUAAAUGGAGCAUAGCCCGAAGAAAUUCGGAUUAAUACUCCAUAAGAUUGUAGAGUGGCAUCACUCAGCAAUUAAAGAAAUUCGUUUAGAGAUGGGCGUGCGGCUGAUUAGGUAGUUGGUGAGGUAACGGCUCACCAAGCCGACGAUCAGUAACUGGCGUGAGAGCGCGACCAGUCACACGGGCACUGAGACACGGGCCCGACUCCUACGGGAGGCAGCAGUAAGGAAUAUUGGUCAAUGGACGCAAGUCUGAACCAGCCAUGCCGCGUGAAGGAUGAAGGUCCUCUGGAUUGUAAACUUCUUUUAUAUGGGAAGAAACCACUUUUAUCUAAAGGUGUUGACGGUACCAUAGGAAUAAGCACCGGCUAACUCCGUGCCAGCAGCCGCGGUAAUACGGAGGGUGCAAGCGUUAUCCGGAUCCACUGGGUUUAAAGGGUGCGUAGGCGGAUUAGUAAGUCCGUGGUGAAAUCUCCGAGCUUAACUCGGAAACUGCCGUGGAUACUAUUAAUCUUGAAUGUUGUGGAGGUUAGCGGAAUAUGUCAUGUAGCGGUGAAAUGCUUAGAUAUGACAUAGAACACCAAUUGCGAAGGCAGCUGGCUACACAAAUAUUGACGCUGAGGCACGAAAGCGUGGGGAUCAAACAGGAUUAGAUACCCUGGUAGUCCACGCCCUAAACGAUGAUUACUCGACAUUUGCGAUAUACAGUAAGUGUCUGAGCGAAAGCAUUAAGUAAUCCACCUGGGAAGUACGACCGCAAGGUUGA
rnacentral:rRNA from 1 species